rnacentral:lncRNA from 1 species
AUGUGUUUCUUUGUCUUGUACCCUUUUUUCCUGGAGACAGGAGGGUCUAUAUUCUCACUAGCCACUGAGAAUAAACGUCAUUUUUUCUACAGCCACCGGAACUCUCUUUGUCUCAUUGCCUCAAACUCAUUGUUCAACAGGGACAAAUGCAAGAUACUUCACUUCGGCAGAAAAAAUGGAAAUCAAAGAUACAGAAUGGGGGACGCCUGGCUUGACAGCAGUGUGUGCAAAAAAGACCUUGGAGUCAUUGUGGACAACAAGUUAAACAUGAGCCAACAAUGUGAUGCAGCAGCUAAAAAAGCCAACGGGAUUCUGGCCUGCAUCAAUAGGGGAAUAGUGUCUAGAUCCAGGGAAGUCAUGCUCCCCAUGCUCUAUUCUGCCUUGGUCAGACCACACCUGGAAUACUGUGUCCAAUUUUGGGCACCGCAGUUGAAGGGAGAUGUUGACAAGCUGGAAAGCGUCCAGAGGAGAGUGACUAAAAUGAUUAAGGGUCUGGAGAACAAGCCCUAUGAGGAGCGGCUUAAAGAGCUGGGCAUGUUUAGCCUGCAGAAGAGAAGGCUGAGAAGAGUCAUGAUAGCCAUGUACAAAUACAUGAAGGGAAGUCAUAGGGAGGAGGGAGCAAGCUUGUUUUCUGCUGCCCUGCAGACUAGGAGUUCCACUGUCGAACAGCCCUCACAGUGAGGAAGUUCUUCCUGAUGUUCAGGUGGAAUCUCCUUUCCUGUAGUUUGAAGCCAUUGUUCCACGUCCUAGUCUCCAGGGCAGCAGAAAACAAGCUCCCUCCCUCCUCCCUAUGACUUCCCGUCACGUAUUUGUACAUGGCUAUCAUGUCUCCUCUUAGCCUUCUCUUCUGCAGGCUAAACAUGCUCAGUUCUUUAAGCCGCUCCUCAUAGGGCUUGUUUUUUAGACCCUUGAUCAUUUUAGUUGCCCUCCUCUGGACACUUUCCAACUUGUCAACAUCUCCCUUCAACUGUGGUGCCCAGAAUUGGACACAGUAUUCCAGGUGUGGUCUGACCAAGGCAGAAUAGAGGGGGAGCAUGACUUCCCUGGAUAUAGACACUAGACCAGGUGUCCUCAAACUUUUUAAGCAAAGGGCCGGUCCACAAUCCUUCAGACUGUUGAGGGGCCGAAUUAUCAUUUGGGGGGGGGGGGGGACAAAUUCCUAUGCACACUGCACAUGUCUUGUUUGUAGUGCAAAACAACAACAACAAUGAAAAAACAAUACAAUAUUUAAAAAUUAAAAUAAUUUUAACCAACAUAAACCUAUCAGGAUUUCAAUAGGAAGUGUGGGCCUGCUUCUGGCCAAUGAGAUAGUCAGGUUAAUUAGGAUUGUUGUUGUUGUUGUGUGUCUUCAAGUCAUUUCAGACUUUGGGCGAGCCUAAGUCCAAAAUUAUUUAUUUAUUCAUUUACUACAUUUAUUUACUACAUUUAUAUUCCACCCUUCUCGCCCCGAAGGGAACUCAGAGCAGCUGUAUGUACAUACAAUAUAUUAUAUUAUUAGCAUAGCACAAUAUUAGCAUUAUACUAUAUUGAACUAUACCACUAUACUGUAAUGUUAUAUGU